CCUACGGGAGGCAGCAGUGGGGAAUUUUGGACAAUGGGGCAAACCCUGAUCCAGCCAUGCCGCGUGAGUGAAGAAGGCCAUCGGGUUGUAAAGCUCUUUCAGCCGGAACGAAACGGUUACGGAUAAUACCCGUGACUACUGACGGUACCGGA
rnacentral:rRNA from 1 species